AAUAGUGUGUGUCUGUCUGAUGUAACCUCAUGUAUCAAAGUAGCGGUCAUCUGAAUCAACAAGGAAGUAUGUGAGAAACUCUUCGAUAUUUAUCUUAACUUUACCUGCGACAUAGGUGAUAACACAAUUUAUUUACUGUACGAGAUGGCCAUCCUUCGUAUGUUGUUCUCUUUGCUGAACAACCCACGGGUCAUUGAGAAACUAGCGGAGUCUCGUCCUAUCCGACGUGCGGCACAGAUCGCAGCUUUUGCGAUCAUCAAAGCGCAAAUCGCUGGGAGGGGUGCAACAGCGAAGGUUCUGAAAUCAGACACACUACGCCAGGUUCGGCAAGAGGCAAACGGCCGGAUUCCCCGAGACAUUGGUGACAUCGGGACCCGGUUCAGGAGAGUGAGGGAGACUUUUGUCAAGGAGGUGAAAGAUGGCUUCAGAGACGCUCAGGGACAAAUAAAGAAAUGAAGAAUUUAAUGUGAAAUAAAAUUCCCGUGAUUGAACUCCCACAGCAGUAGCCUAUGUCUGUAUGACAGACAUUCAAAAAUGUUACUGUUCAUAACGAGACCGACAUGACCUGUCCCACAACUGUCUAGGCCGACUACUGUUGCAUCACUGAGCCAAUCUUUGAAUAUAUAAGGGAACACUAACUUACAUGUCUCAAACAUACUCAAGCUGUAUUUUCCAUCAGGGAGCUGUCUUGAUAUCAUCAUGUAAUGAAUCAGGGGUGCAACUUCCACUGGGGAUGGGGGGGUGGGGGGUGGACAUGUCCCCCCCCCCCCAGUUUUAUCAUUGGAAUGUGAUACAAAACGAGGCAACGGUGAGCUUUAGGACCAUGCAGAUGCCUCCGAGCGGUCGGGUAGGCUGUUUGGAGCGUUUAUAUGACUGGAUAAAAAAAUUAAGUUAUGCCCCUGUAAUGAAUGUUGGGAUUUGUGGUGGAUUAGCCUACUGUAACACGUCUGGGUUUGUGGUGGAUUAGCCUACUGUAACACGUCUGCAUGCUGGAGACAUGUUCGUUGCAAUCUACACAGUAGUCUUUAUUCAGGAGUUGGUGUUUGUAGAUAUGGAAUUGUCUACCUUAUUUGACAUGCAUAUUACCACCAUAUAGAAUGUUUGCUGUAAUGCAGCCCCUCCCCAUGACAGUUCCCAUGACAUUUUAUGACUUGAGGUGUCUGAAGGUUUGGAUUGACCUCACCUAUUGGCCAAUUCUUAGUGUGUGUUUAAGUUAUAUUUUAAAUGAAAUGUAAUGUAUUUUACCAAUAAAGGAUAUUCAGAUGAAAAA